GUGAAUCAUCGAAUCUUUGAACGCACCUUGCGCCCUCUGGUAUUCCGGAGAGCAUCCCCGGUUGCGUACUAUGAUCAUCUCAAACCUUGCGCUUCUGAUUUCAAAGGUCCCGUGUCCGGCGAAGCUGUCAUCGAGGCGGUGGUAGCUGGACUUGGGCUCGAAGCGUGUGGUCUUGGACUUGAGCGACUGUCGGUCCUCUUGGAUCGACUCGCUAGAAAUGUAUUAGCUGGCGACCCGCCUUACGGUUCCACUCGGCGUAGUAAGUCUUAUUCGUCGAUGACAAACUUAGGAGAUGGCCGAUGGGUUCGGUGUGAUGCCGCUUCCAGUCGUCUUUGGACAACUUUGAACCUUUAAUCUCAACUCGGGUAGGACUACCCGCUGAACUUAAGCAUAUCAAUAAGCGGAGGAAAAGA
rnacentral:rRNA from 1 species